rnacentral:rRNA from 1 species
ACACGGAGCUUGCUCUGUGGGAUCAGUGGCGAACGGGUGAGUAACACGUGAGCAACCUGCCCCUGACUCUGGGAUAAGCGCUGGAAACGGCGUCUAAUACUGGAUAUGUGACGUGACCGCAUGGUCUGCGUCUGGAAAGAAUUUCGGUUGGGGAUGGGCUCGCGGCCUAUCAGCUUGUUAGUGAGGUAAUGGCUCACCAAGGCGUCGACGGGUAGCCGGCCUGAGAGGGUGACCGGCCACACUGGGACUGAGACACGGCCCAGACUCCUACGGGAGGCAGCAGUGGGGAAUAUUGCACAAUGGGCGCAAGCCUGAUGCAGCAACGCCGCGUGAGGGACGACGGCCUUCGGGUUGUAAACCUCUUUUAGCAGGAAGAAGCGAAAGUGACGGUACCUGCAGAAAAAGCGCCGGCUAACUACGUGCCAGCAGCCGCGGUAAUACGUAGGGCGCAAGCGUUAUCCGGAAUCAUUGGGCGUAAAGAGCUCGUAGGCGGUUUGUCGCGUCUGCUGCGAAAUCCGGAGGCUCAACCUCCGGCCUGCAGUGGGUACGGGCAGACUAGAGUGCGGUAGGGGAGAUUGGAAUUCCUGGUGUAGCGGUGGAAUGCGCAGAUAUCAGGAGGAACACCGAUGGCGAAGGCAGAUCUCUGGGCCGUAACUGACGCUGAGGAGCGAAAGGGUGGGGAGCAAACAGGCUUAGAUACCCUGGUAGUCCACCCCGUAAACGUUGGGAACUAGUUGUGGGGUCCAUUCCACGGAUUCCGUGACGCAGCUAACGCAUUAAGUUCCCCGCCUGGGGAGUACGGCCGCAAGGCUAAAACUCAAAGGAAUUGAC